rnacentral:ncRNA from 1 species
CGUCGUGAGGCGGAAUCUGAAGAAAGCCGGAUAAAAGGUCUCCUGAAGGGCAAAACUCUGGCCUGACGAACAGAAAUCGCAUACAAGGCCGUAAAUGAGGGUGAGUUUGCCAGACAAAACAAAGCCCGGUAGCUACACGGAAUCAUUUACGGUAAAUGCGGCAGGUAAAGAGGGAAAGAACG